AAUCUCUUACGCCAUAAAGAAGCAGAAUUCUCUUUGGUUAAUUUUCUCUUUAUACCUCUUGUACCAACAUGUAAAGAUUCAUUAUAAGAAGCAAUUGUAUCAAACAAAUAAAGAUUAUCAUGCACUGAUAAAGAACCAGAACCAACCAGAUUUGAAUUAAGAAAAAGACUAAAUUUUUUAUUUCUAAUAAACAUGAAUAACUAAAUUUGUCAAAUACAGAAACAGAAAUCUCAUUACAUU
rnacentral:lncRNA from 1 species